rnacentral:misc_RNA from 1 species
GUCAGACAUGCCAAGAAGUAUUCAUCCCCUCACAUUGAAACCUCGAUACACAAGCAAAGUUCAAAAACAAACUGGCCCAAGUUUUAUUAGCAUUUCCAUGAAUGAAAAUAAAUGAAAAAGGAUGGGUGUUCAUGACUAUUUUAAGGGCACAUAAUAAAUAUUUAAUUCAUGUUGCACCUGAUAGAAGCAAAGUCCAGAGUCAAAUCUAAGGUUUUU